UCCAGACUCCUGCGGGAGGCAGCAGUGGGGGAUAUUGCACAAUGGGGGCAACCCUGAUGCAGCGACGCCGCGUGAGCGAUGGAGUACUUCGGUAUGUAAAGCUCUGUCAGCAGGGAAGAGAAUGACGGUACCUGACCAAGAAGCCCCGGCUAAAUACGUGCCAGCAGCCGCGGUAAUACGUAUGGGGCAAGCGUUAUCCGGAUUCACUGGGUGUAAAGGGAGCGUAGACGGCGAUGCAAGCCAGAUGUGAAAGCCCGGGGCUCAACCCCGGGACUGCAUUUGGAACUGUAUAGCUAGAGUGUCGGAGAGGCAGGCGGAAUUCCUAGUGUAGCGGUGAAAUGCGUAGAUAUUAGGAGGAACACCAGUGGCGAAGGCGGCCUGCUGGACGAUGACUGACGUUGAGGCUCGAAAGCGUGGGGAGCAAACAGGAUUAGAUACCCGUGUAUCU
rnacentral:rRNA from 1 species